rnacentral:rRNA from 1 species
AUUGAACGCUGGCGGCAGGCCUAACACAUGCAAGUCGAACGAGAGGCGGACGGGUGAGUAAUGUCUGGGAAACUGCCCGAUGGAGGGGGAUCACUACUGGAAACGGUAGCUAAUACCGCAAACCAUCAGAUGUGCCCAGAUGGGAUUAGCUAGGAGGUGGGGUAACGGCUCACCUAGGCGACGAUCCCUAGCUGGUCUGAGAGGAUGAACAGCCACACUGGAACUGAGACACGGUCCAGACUCCUACGGGAGGCAGCAGUGGGGAAUAUUGCACAAUGGGCGCAAGCCUGAUGCAGCCAUGCCGCGUGUAUGAAGAAGGCCUUAGGGUUGUAAAGUACUUUCAGUGGGGAGGCGUUACUCACAGAAGAAGCACCGGCUAACUCCGUGCCAGCCGCCGCGGUAAUAC